GCCCCGGUGGCUCAGCCUGGCGGAGCGGCCGCUUGGUAAGCGGCAGGCCGCGGGUUCAAACCCCGCCCGGGGCUCCA
rnacentral:tRNA from 1 species